GACGAACGCUGGCGGCGUGCUUAACACAUGCAAGUCGAACGGAAAGGCCCUUCGGGGUACUCGAGUGGCGAACGGGUGAGUAACACGUGGGUGAUCUGCCCUGCACUUUGGGAUAAGCCUGGGAAACUGGGUCUAAUACCGAAUAGGACCGCGCGCUUCAUGGUGUGUGGUGGAAAGCUUUUGCGGUGUGGGAUGGGCCCGCGGCCUAUCAGCUUGUUGGUGGGGUAAUGGCCUACCAAGGCGACGACGGGUAGCCGGCCUGAGAGGGUGACCGACCACACUGGGACUGAGAUACGGCCCAGACUCCUACGGGAGGCAGCAGUGGGGAAUAUUGCACAAUGGGCGCAAGCCUGAUGCAGCGACGCCGCGUGAGGGAUGACGGCCUUCGGGUUGUAAACCUCUUUCACCAGGGACGAAGCGCAAGUGACGGUACCUGGAGAAGAAGCACCGGCCAACUACGUG
rnacentral:rRNA from 1 species